UACGUAGGGUGCGAGCGUUGUCCGGAUUUAUUGGGCGUAAAGGGCUCGUAGGCGGCCUGUCGCGUCGGGAGUGAAAGCCCACUGCUUAACGGUGGGUCUGCUUCCGGUACGGGCGGGCUAGAGUAUGGCAGGGGAGACUGGAAUUCCUGGUGUAGCGGUGGAAUGCGCAGAUAUCAUGAGGAACACCGGUGGCGAAGGCGGGUCUCUGGGCCAUUACUGACGCUGAGGAGCGAAAGCGUGGGGAGCGAACAGG
rnacentral:rRNA from 1 species